GAUGGACGCUGGCGGCGUGCCUAAUACAUGCAAGUCGAGCGAACAGACGAGGAGCUUGCUCCUCUGACGUUAGCGGCGGACGGGUGAGUAACACGUGGAUAACCUACCUAUAAGACUGGGAUAACUUCGGGAAACCGGAGCUAAUACCGGAUAAUAUAUUGAACCGCAUGGUUCAAUAGUGAAAGACGGUUUUGCUGUCACUUAUAGAUGGAUCCGCGCCGCAUUAGCUAGUUGGUAAGGUAACGGCUUACCAAAGCAACGAUGCGUAGCCGACCUGAGAGGGUGAUCGGCCACACUGGAACUGAGACACGGUCCAGACUCCUACGGGAGGCAGCAGUAGGGAAUCUUCCGCAAUGGGCGAAAGCCUGACGGAGCAACGCCGCGUGAGUGAUGAAGGUCUUCGGAUCGUAAAACUCUGUUAUUAGGGAAGAACAAAUGUGUAAGUAACUAUGCACGUCUUGACGGUACCUAAUCAGAAAGCCACGGCUAACUACGUG
rnacentral:rRNA from 1 species